UGGGGAAUAUUGGACAAUGGGCGCAAGCCUGAUCCAGCAAUGCCGCGUGUGUGAAGAAGGCCUUCGGGUUGUAAAGCACUUUAGCCAGGGAAGAAAAAGCUCAAGCUAAUAUCUUGAGUGUUGACGGUACCUGGAGAAUAAGCACCGGCUAACUCUGUGCCAGCAGCCGCGGUAAUACAGAGGGUGCGAGCGUUAAUCGGAUUUACUGGGCGUAAAGCGUGUGUAGGUGGCUGUUCAAGUCGGUUGUGAAAUCCCCGGGCUCAACCUGGGAAUUGCUUCCGAGACUGAGCGGCUAGAGUACGGUAGAGGGCGGUGGAAUUUCCGGUGUAGCGGUGAAAUGCGUAGAUAUCGGAAGGAACACCAAUGGCGAAGGCAGCCGCCUGGGCCUGUACUGACACUGAGACACGAAAGCGUGGGGAUCAAACAGG
rnacentral:rRNA from 1 species